rnacentral:tRNA from 1 species
AUUCUUGUAGUGUAAGAUUAGCACAUUAGAUUUUCAAUCUUUUAGUAUAUAAUAUAUUUAGAAUA